UACGUAGGCAGCAAGCGUUGUUCGGAGUUAUUGGGCGUAAAGAGCUCGUAGGCGGUUUGUCGCGUCUGCUGUGAAAACCCGAGGCUCAACCUCGGGCCUGCAGUGGGUACGGGCAGACUAGAGUGCGGUAGGGGAGAUUGGAAUUCCUGGUGUAGCGGUGGAAUGCGCAGAUAUCAGGAGGAACACCGAUGGCGAAGGCAGAUCUCUGGGCCGUAACUGACGCUGAGGAGCGAAAGCGUGGGGAGCGAAUAGG
rnacentral:rRNA from 1 species